rnacentral:rRNA from 1 species
GACGAACGCUGGCGGCGUGCUUAACACAUGCAAGUCGAACGGAAAGACCCUGCUCUUGCUGGGCUCUCGAGUGGCGAACGGGUGAGUAACACGUGAGUAACCUGCCCUUGACUGUGUGAUAACUUCUGGAAACUGGGGAUAAUACCGGAUAGAAGCUCCUGCUGCAUGGUGGGGGUUGGAAAGUUUCGGCGGUUCUGGCUGGACUCGCGGCUUAUCAGCUGGUUGGUGGGGUAGUGGCUUACCAAGGCUUUGACGGGUAGCCGGCCUGAGAGGGUUACCGGCGACCUUGGGCCUGAGAGAGGGAGCAGAAGGCAACGGGCGGCAAUAGUGGGAAGUCUUGCAGAGUAGCCGGGCGCGAGAGACGGCAGCGCUGGGAGCGUGAUGAUGGGUUUCGGGUUGUGAACAGCUUUCUCAUGAGACGAACAGUGAGUGACGGUAAUGAGUAAGGAAGCAACGGCUAACUACGUG